GCUCGGCCGCCAUCUUUGUGAGGGCGGGAGUUAGAUUCCCAUUGCUUGAAAAGUGUGGAAGGGAGCGUUCGGACGACAGCUACUUCCGCCCCGCACGCACACGCUUCCUCCUGCCAUCUUUGUGAGGGGCGUAUGCAGGCAAUUGCUUGGGAGGGACAGGGACACAUGUUCUGCCCAGCCCAAGCCUAGAAAGCAAGUAGCUACUGGUGAACUGACAGUUUGGAAGACAAUAGAAAAGAGAGUUAUAAUAGACAAGGAAGAGGAAGAUGGCCUUGCCGUAGUAGACGCCAUUGAUAGCCUCGCGAUCACUGAGGUACGGCAUGAUGGAGUCAAUCAGACCAUGCGGCAUCUGGUCCAUUUCAGAGAAAAUGAAAAGCGACCUCGGACAGAC